rnacentral:rRNA from 1 species
AACGGGGGGGGCAAGUGUUAUUCAUCAUGACUGGGCGUAAAGGGCGCGCAGACGGUUACCGGAAGCUUAAGAUUAAAACUCCACUGAAGGUGGUCUCUUCUUUUGAACUGGUAGAAGCGGUUAAAUAUUUAUUUAACUGGUCGCUUAUAUAUGUAAAAAUAUAUAGGUUCUAGAGUACAGCUAAAGGUAAUGGAACUCCCAGUGUAGAGGUGACAUUCAUUGAUACUGGAGGGG